UUCACUCUAUUUCACAUCUACGAAAACAUUGACGAGCUCCAAAUUUGAAAUUUGAAAACAUUGGAGAGAGAGAGAUGAAGUUUAUUCAAAUUCCCAGGAAAAAAUUCGCGCGCUCAUCGGAUCUCUCGGAGCGAAGGGAGUCAGGAUCCUGAGAUGAAGAAUCGCAAGGUUGCAGAGAAGAGACAGAGCGCUGACGUUUCUUUUGAAAGCACGAAGGAUCCAAUCGAAUUUACUCCGAUCUCUCAUUCCGAGGCUGCGGUAAGCUUCUCUCCGUGUUUCGUGUCCGUUCGACGUUUUCUCUGUUCUGUUGCUUUGCAAACGGCUCAGAUCUGUUCAUCUCAGAUGUUUAUUUUUGGUUGAAAUUGAAUCGAUUUUGGUCUGUGAGUGAUAACGAAAUCGAAGAAUUAAGCCCUAAUCGUAGCGAUUUUGUGUUAUUGGGUAAUUUAUUUGAUGAUGCUCGAAUUACUGUUUUCCUCAUAGUGUUGUUAACCAAGGAUCGAGCCUAGACUCGCCAGAGAUUUCUCUUCCCCAGUUUCAACCAUUACUACUAGUGUGGAGGCUCGUAUUGACACUUGUUCUACUGAUCGGAUCCAUUCCGAUUCUGUGCAAUCCUUGCGUGCAGAGAUCAACGAGCUUAAAAAAUUGAUCUGCUCAGUUGACACUUCUCAAGAAAGUAGCUGGGUCGAUGACUACUUCAGAACCACGAAGCAUGUAAAAAAAUUAGAAAAGAUCAGAUGCAAACAAUUCGUACACAGGUUUGUAUUUCAUGUUUGCCUCAGAACAGCGUUUAGUUGAUAUUAAAUUUACCAAAAGACUAAUAAUCAUUUCAUAUUAGCAAUUCAAAGUAGACCGUUGAAAAUACAAUGAUUGAGCAUCA